GGGAAGGAUCCUGUCUCACUCAUGUGGAAAGCCUACCACAUACUGGGCUGUGCCUCUGGGAGAAGAUGGCUGCGUGGUACCUGGAGGAGGUCGCCCAUCGUUUAUGUUGAAUGCUGUUGCAAAUAUACCAAAGGGAAACGCCCCAAUUCCGAAUGACAUUUGGAAGCCACCAUCGCCAAAGCCAAAGCCCUGGAAUCCCUGCAGAGACAAAGCAACAGAGAGAAAAAAGGUUGUUCUGACAGUGACUGAAUCACUGACAUUUACUGCAUUCGAGAAUCAAGAGUGGCAACAGAUGAAGAGUUAAACAACAAAG